AGUUAAGCGUGCUUGCGCGAGAGUAGUACUAGGAUGGGUGACCUCCUGGAAAGUCCUCGUGUUGCAUCCCUC
rnacentral:rRNA from 1 species